rnacentral:rRNA from 1 species
GACGAACCGUGCGAACGUUGUUCGGAAUCACUGGGCUUAAAGGGCGCGUAGGCGGACGACCAAGUCGGGGGUGAAAUCUUUCGGCUCAACCGGAAAAUAGCCUUCGAUACUGGCCGUCUAGAGGGAGGUAGGGGGCGUGUGGAACUUCCGGUGGAGCGGUGAAAUGCGUUGAUAUCGGAAGGAACUCCGGUGGCGAAAGCGACACGCUGGAUCUCAUCUGACGCUGAUGCGCGAAAGCCAGGGGGAGCGAACGGG